GUCAUUUUCCCAAGUUUGUACAAACUGGUAGUACGACGACUCUGUUAGAAGUUCAGUGCGCACCCGCGGUUCAACGACAAUGUUCAAGCUUUUCUGCUCUUUUAGCCAUCUGACCAAUUCUGAACAAAGUAUUCUAACAGCAGUUGAAUUUGGCUUUGUCAAUAUAAGCACCGUUUGUGGGGGAGAUUCCCACUUCAAAGAAAUUUGUUUACUGCUGCGUUCAGCAGUUGUUAUGUUUCCCUUUUCAAAAGAGACGAUGUCGUGUUUUUUCUGAUCACUUUUUUCACCUUUGCAACGCCAUGACAACUUGAAUGAUGCCUUUCUGGUCAUCUUGUUUCGAAUAACACUGGCAUCAUGAUCAUGUUCUCCAUCACGAAGAACCUGAUGAGAGCAAAUUCCAUGCUCCCCACAACACCUGUCGGAUUUCUCCACAGCGCCAUCUGAUAGUAAAGGUUUGUUUGUCAAGUGUACGACUCGCCCAUUCUCAUCUAAAUGCUUCUCCGAUGGCAUUGCUUUAUUCUCUAACUGCAAAUUACGUGUCCUCUCCAAUUCAUAUUUACGCUUCCAUUCAGAAGCCUCAGCUUGUGCAGAAGCCUUUCCUUCAGCAGCUUGUCUUAGUGCCUUUGCGACAGUUCUCAAAGCCUCGGCAAACUCAAUCAGAUGGUCAUCAAUCCCGUGAAGAAUUGGCUGUUGAAUAAGUUCUUCUACAGCCUUCUCAGAAUUCAACAUGGCAAGUGAUUCGCUAAAGGCGUUUUCCAGUGGCAAAACACUAGCACUUCCAUUAGAGGUGUGUUUGUUUGGAGACAUAGGAGUCUGUUUCAUUGACAUGAAAAAUUCAACAAUUCACCAAACACUUCCCUCUUUCUCUCUCUAAAACUAAUCUCU
rnacentral:misc_RNA from 1 species